UGCUCCGUGAACAACACAUGGCAUCAUUGAUGGAUAUAAAUUGAAAUUCUAUCAAGUUAAGAUGAAAGGUUUCAACUUUCAAACCAAAGUGAGGGAAUUUUGAUUUGUGCAUGCAAUCAAUAUUUUCUCAUGACCAGAAAAAGGAAAAGCCUUAAGCCGCAAAAGUUCUUGAUCACUUUAAAAAGUGAAAAGAGAUCGAGGGGGUCCUUUAGAAAAUAACACUUAUGACUCUCAUAGAGUAAGAUGCUUUUAGAAAAUAAGAGGACCAUUUGAGCACUAACAGAGAAAACAUGUCUUGGACAUGAAAGGAAUCCUUCCCUUGAACCAUUCACACACCCUAACUCUCUCUUCUCAUUUUAGACACAAUCAAUUAACUACUGCAGAACCUUGAUGAGAUUCAUCAGUUUGCUUUUGCUCCCCACUUCCCAUAUGCAGCUUUUCUAUCUCUCUUUAUCUUUUACCAUUUCAACUAGUUACAUCUUUUCACUCACCAGCAUCAUGAUAAUAUGGCAGAACUUAAAGUUCGUUGGUCGUUUUGGAUUACAACAAUGGUAAUGCUUAUCAACUACGCGCGCACACCAACUUUGCUACAUGUUUUCUUUUGAUGGAAUUUCUU
rnacentral:lncRNA from 1 species